rnacentral:tmRNA from 1 species
GGGGAUGCACCGGAUUCGACGGUGAAGCACCUUGACAGACCGCCGGCUGAGGACGGACGCUCACCUCAUUAAUCAUGCGUCUAACGCCAUUACAAUUGGCAAAUUUACAGAGAAAGUCGCUGCCAUUCGUGACUCCGUAAAGGAAACUUUCCGGACCGCGUUCGCGCAGAUGGACGCUCUACCUAUCCGGGCUUAAUUCCCGGAUCGUGCGCCUGCCAGUGCCCGGCUGGAAGGAUCGCGCGUCAUACUCCGGGCUUAUCCCGAUUCCCUAGUCUCAGGAAAUUGGGAGAAAAGUUUGAGACUGGGUUCGCUGGGUUUCGUCCGUUUUCGACCAGCGAGCUGACAGCAAAAAGCGGACUACGCCGGUAGAUCGUCUAUCACAGGUCUUGAUCGGACGGGGGUUCGACUCCCCCCAUCUCCACCA